CUUUAAGAUUGUUGAUCCAUGGAAUUGCCAUCACAAAGCACAAGUGUGGUAAAGGAAACAUGUUCUAAGAUGUCAGAAGGAACCUACGAAUUUGAAGGGAAUGUAACUAGCACAAAUAUUGAUUGCCCAUUAUAUGGCAAAGUAGGAGCUGACAAACCCAAACCAGGUGGAGUCGUCAUUCAACAUUCAGAUUCAGCAUAUUCAAAGUGGUGGAAAAGACCUUCUGGAGUUGCUGCAGUGUGUCUGGGACUGCUAUGUGUUCUGCUUCUGGCUGAGAUCAUAGGACUGUGUGUCUACUAUGGCGUCAUUGGCUGUCAAUACUUCAUAAAAAGAGACAAUCUACAGACUAGUUACAACAACCUGACAAAAGAGAGAGACCAGCUACAUACUAGUUACAACAACCUGACAAAAGAGAACGACCAGCUACAGACUAGUA